GGAGGUUGGCGGCGGACGGUGCCCUCGCCAAUCCGGUCAGAUUCGGAAGGAAGCAGCCGUAACGAGAUUGUUCCGGGUCGUCUAACCAGCCUCCCAC
rnacentral:SRP_RNA from 2 species